rnacentral:ncRNA from 2 species
ACCGCAUAAAUUCGCAUCUUUCGUAUAUCCUGAGCAAUAGGGUUCAGGGUCUCUACCGGAAACCGUAAAUUUCUAGCUACGAAAAAUAGGCCUCAGGCG